rnacentral:tRNA from 1 species
GCCCAAGUGGCGGAAUUGGCAGACGCGCUGCACUCAAAAUGCAGUUCUUCACGGAGUGUGGGUUCGAGUCCCACCUUGGGCA